rnacentral:rRNA from 1 species
AUACGUAGGGGGCGAGCGUUGUCCGGAAUGAUUGGGCGUAAAGGGCGCGUAGGCGGCGCGGUAAGUCUGGAGUGAAAGUCCUGCUUUCAAGGUGGGAAUUGCUUUGGAUACUGCCGCGCUUGAGUGCAGGAGAGGUUAUCGGAAUUCCCGGUGUAGCGGUGAAAUGCGUAGAGAUCGGGAGGAACACCAGUGGCGAAGGCGGGUAACUGGACUACAACUGACGCUGAGGCGCGAAAGUGUGGGGAGCAAACAGGAUUAGAUACCCGGGUAGUCCACACUGUAAACGAUGAAUGCUAGGUGUAAGAGGUAUCGACCCCUUUUGUGCCGGAGUCAACACAAUAAGCAUUCCGCCUGGGGAGUUCGGACGCACGGUUGAUACUCAAAUGGUUUGGCGGGG